GAUGAACUGGGACAGCUGAUUGAUGUCGAGUGCGCCGUUCUCCGCCUGCUGCUGGAUUAGAGGCAGAUCCAGAACUUCCUCAAUACGGGAGCGCAGACGGCCGUGGCCCGGCAGCAAGAAAGACAGCAGUGUCUGGCUGGAUGUUCCCCUCUGAAAUCUACCUGCUGCUCACCUUGAGGAGUGUUCCCCCUGUGUGGGCUCGGAGUAUUCGCCCGGACCCUCUUCCUUACCGCCUCCUCAGGAGCAUCCUGCGUCCUCUCCUCCUUUGACUCCUUUUCUCCUUCACCCUCAUGGUGGUCUGCCUCCUUUGGCAUGCUAAGAUGAUGACAUCACCUAGACUAGGAGAGGAGGGGAGGGGAGGAGGAGUCAGUGUGCCAGUGCGAUGCUAAGCUGACUGAGGAGGUGAAGAGACAGAGUGAAAUUUGCAGCUGUACAGCAACAGAUCCAACCCAGUGAGACGUGUCACCAUGAAAAUUACUUGUGGCUUUGAGUAAAAUGUCUCGAACUUUUGGAUGAAUACCACUUUGGAAUAGCAUGAAGACCACCAUCAGGUCCUCUUUCUCCUUUGAAAGAGCCCUGCUGUGGAGAAUCGCCCUGGAGAAAGACUUCUUCACCGCCUGUCUGUUCUCCAUCUACACAUUCAACAGCACACCAUUAAUGUUAAAUUAC